rnacentral:RNase_P_RNA from 1 species
GGAGCGAACCAGGCAGCCGCGGAUCAUUCGAUUCGAGGAAAGUCCGGACACCGCAGAGCAGGGUGCUGGUUAACGGCCAGCGGGGGAAACCCCAGGGAAAGUGCCACAGAAACGACACAGCCUUCGGCCAUUCGGCCGUCGGCAACGGUGAAAAGGUGCGGUAAGAGCGCACCAGCGGUCUGGUGACAGGCCGGCUGGGUAAACCCCACCCGGUGCAAGGCCAAGUCGGAGCGCUACGGGUUGCUCGCCCAGCUCCAGGUCGGCCGCACGAGGUGACCAGCAAUGGUCAUCCCAGAGAGAUGGCUGCCCACGACAGAAUCCGGCUUACGGUUCGCUACUCCU